GAUUUGAUGAAGUGUUGAAUUCGACAUCUCCAAUGCUCCUAUUCCUAGAAGGAAACCGACGAUAGGAAUAUCAGCUGAAAAUCACCAGCCGCCAUCAAUACAGCCGUCAAACACAACAAAUAUAACUUUAUUUUCCAUGGGAAAUUGAAGUCAUGCCGCCCAAAACCAUCUGAUCCUGUUGUAUAAAAGAACCGAGCUCGACCACCAUCAGCUGGCCGGAGUCCAAGAAGGAUAUGAAAUGUAUUAAGGGAUAUCAGCCCAAAGCAGCUGGGUGUUUUGUAGACAAAGUAACAACAGAUGGAAAGUGGGGCACCGGACUGAAGAAUUCAAAAGUUAUUAGAAUUUA